rnacentral:rRNA from 1 species
UACAGAGGUCUCGAGCGUUGUUCGGAUUCAUUGGGCGUAAAGGGCGCGUAGGCGGCGGGGUAAGUCUGGUGUGAAAUCUAGGAGCUCAACUCCUAAACUGCACUGGAUACUGCUCUGCUGGAGGACUGGAGAGGAGACUGGAAUUCACGGUGUAGCAGUGAAAUGCGUAGAUAUCGUGAGGAAGACCAGUGGCGAAGGCGGGUCUCUGGACAGUUCCUGACGCUGAGGCACGAAGGCCAGGGGAGCAACCGGGG